AGUGAACGCUGGCGGUAGGCCUAACACAUGCAAGUCGAACGGCAGCACAGUAAGAGCUUGCUCUUACGGGUGGCGAGUGGCGGACGGGUGAGGAAUACAUCGGAAUCUACUUUUUCGUGGGGGAUAACGUAGGGAAACUUACGCUAAUACCGCAUACGACCUACGGGUGAAAGCAGGGGAUCUUCGGACCUUGCGCGAUUGAAUGAGCCGAUGUCGGAUUAGCUAGUUGGCGGGGUAAAGGCCCACCAAGGCGACGAUCCGUAGCUGGUCUGAGAGGAUGAUCAGCCACACUGGAACUGAGACACGGUCCAGACGCCUACGGGAGGCAGCAGUGGGGAAUAUUGGACAAUGGGCACAAGCCUGAUCCAGCCAUACCGCGUGGGUGGAGAAGGCCUUCGGGUUGUAAAGCCCUUUUGUUGGGAAAGAAAAGCAGCAGGUUAAUACCCCGCUGUUCUGACGGUACCCAAAGAAUAAGCACCGGCUAACUUCGUG
rnacentral:rRNA from 1 species